GUAUUCUCAGUAAAAUAGCACAUAUACUAAAAUCAGAACCAGACAGAGAUUAGAUGGCCCCUGCACAAGGGUGACAAAUUCACAAAGUGUUCCAUAUUUUU
rnacentral:snRNA from 1 species